AUUCUUUCGCAGAGGCAAUAUUUUAGCCUAUGAGGCUCAUCCGAGGCGUGAUCAUUGCUGGUUGAAAACUUUACCCAAUACCCCCCCAGGAUGUCUUGAAACACAAUCAGCUUAGGCAAUUUUUGGAAGCUCAUUGUGUUGUUGAUGAA
ensembl:snRNA U4 U4 spliceosomal RNA